AGUACUAUACUACCAAAUAGUUACAUCUAUUCUGUAGCAAUAAAAGUUAUAAAAUUCUGUCUAUUAUUAAUUUUAAUAUUAAAAAGUGUAUCGUUUAACUCUUAGCCAUUAUUUACAAUUUAAUUGUUAAUUAUGCCUAAAAAAACGAAUUAACAACUUUGGUAUUGUUUGGAAGGUAAACAGCUUAAUUCCUUUAUGUAAAGCCACCUUAACAUGUUUUUGCAUAAUUCUGACUCACCUUGGUUGCUAUCGGGCUUAAGCCAUAAAAAUCGAAGAAAAAAAGAAGAAGACGAAGAGACUUUCACUUGUCUUAUCAAUGUCACUUUCCGGCCCACAAGCAUAAACGCCACCGGCAACGGAAGUUCCCAAAAUCCAAACAAAUGUUGGAAGAUAUUUUUAAGUCUCCGCAUCUUUCUUACUUUCCUAUAUGAAAAUAAAAUUGGACUACACCAACAAAGGUUAUGUGUUUUGCACGAGAUUGAAAGCAUCAUAGCGAAAAACGGACCUGUCAUAUCUUUAAAUUUUCAAAAGAGCCCCUGGAAAAAGAAAAAUGAAUAUCUUUGCCAAGGAAUAGGUACUAAGGCAAAUGGAUAAAAAACCUUCAGUCCAUGCAUUGGUAUGUAAUUGUUGACAAAAAUACAAUGAAUGGCCUCACUACUUUUCCACAUGCAAAGAGGUUAACCAAGGAGAAAUUAAAGAAAUUGUCAAAAACCUAGGUAAAUACAGAAUUGGGUUCUAGUCGACUUUAGGUAUCUCCGAAUUUUAACAUUUUUGAAUAUGAAAUAGAAAGCUAAUCUUCUUUGGACUAUUUUAAGCAGAAAAAAUUGGAGGAUGAAUAACAUUUUCUUUAAUAAAAUAAUAAAAACAAAAAAAAUCAUGACAAUGUGUACCUAUGUACGAUAUAAACUCGUUUUCGAACAUUCGCCGCAAGCGCUUUAUGGCUUAAUGGUAAUGAGAGUGAACUAUGAGCCGGUCGGCCUGGGUUCAGAUUUCAAGUCUGCCAGUUUUACUUUUUUAUUUUUUUUGCUACUAAGAAUUUUGUAGUUUUGGAAAAAUUAUUUAAUUUAAAUUAAAUUAUACAUAAAACAUGACCAAAAAGCCGAAAUUGUUUAUAUAACAUAAAAAAAAAAGAUUUUACCUUUUAUGGUAAUUAUAAGUCCCUUUAUUUUCGUGUAAGAAAACAUACCGAAGACACCCAUAAUGUAUUAUUUAUUGUUUUGGUACUUUUUAGAUUUCGAUCCUAAUUAAAAAUAAAAUGAAAUAUAGGCAUAUUCUAUUUAAAAUUGAGUCUAAAGAAUAUUUAUUUUUCAUAUAAAUAACAAAAACAAAAUUCCCUUCCACCUUCCUUCAUUAUUCUUUUUUAUUGACGUUUCACAUAACGCCGCGAGGUGACAGCGUUGCCAUACAUGUUCUUUGAUUAAAGAAUUUUUUAUUUCUUCUAUGAUUCUAAUGAAUGUUUUUAGUGUUUUGGGCUCGGUUGAAUUGCAUUGGGUUGAUUUUGGGUUAGCACACGGGGGGCAUAAGCCCCCCGUGUGCCUCGGUGUUGGGUUGGGCUGGGAUGAGAUGAGAUGAGGC
rnacentral:lncRNA from 1 species